CCCUUAGAUGUUCUGGGCCGCACGCGUGCUACACUGAGUGGAUCAGCGGGUCAGGUUGCGCGAAAGCGUUUCCUAAUCUUUAAAUCCGCUCGUGAUGGGGAUUGACGGUUGCAAUUUUCUGUCAUGAACGAGGAAUUCCUAGUAAGCGCGAGUCAUCAGCUCGCGUUGAUUACGUCCCUGCCCUUUGUACACACCGCCCGUCGCUACUACCGAUUGAAUGGUUUAGUGAGGACUCCUGAUUGGCGCCGCCGCCCCGGCAACGGAGCAGCGGACUGCCGAAAAGUUGUUCAAACUUGAUCAUUUAGAGGAAGUAAAAGUCGUAACA
rnacentral:rRNA from 1 species